AGCACUGCCUCUUUCUGCGAGACCAGGAAACAGCCCCGCUACCAGCCCUACGCGCAGGGAAGCCGAAGGAGAAAGGCUUCCUCACUCAGGUGGAAAGUGCUGAAUCAAGGAAGAGAAGCUGGUACCAUCUACUCUGAGCAUACAUCAGAAGAAGGUGAAAAGGGCAGGACCCAGAAAAUGAACAGGUACUGCUACACCUGUGGUUGGGUAUAUGGAGUUUUCAGGAGACUAUGGAAUUCAAGUGCCAGAUACGUGGUUUUAUGAUAUUGCUCAAUCUUGACUCUGGAAGCUGUUUUCAUCUUCCGUCUUACACAGGUGGGGGGAGCUGGGGGGGGUGGGGAGGGGACGUAACUCACCACAGGAUUGACAGGAUCUGCCAGGCCAAAAUAUGCAUUUUUUAAGUGUUACUGAGCUGCAUUUUUUUAGGACAGCCUGCUUUUUUUCCUAUUGACAUUUUUCUGUCUGGAGAGGCAAAAAGCACCUCAGAUACAGAUAGGUUUGGAAGCACAAUUCAGGGGAACUGCUGUUUUUGGAGGCUGUCAGACACAGGAUAUAUGAUGAACAGCUUUUGUGAAGGGCAGUCAUGUUUGCUGCCUGCCACAGCACUGUGAGAGCUGAAAACUGAAUGGCUUGGUUAGAAAUCACUAACUGGGUCUGAAUUUUCAUAGUCCUUCAGUAUCAGAAGCUGUAAUUUAUGAUGCACAAGAUGUGUGUAGCCAUAUUUAUUACCUAUGUAAACACUUCAUUGACACCUAAGUCCCAAAUCUGGCUAGUGUCAGUCAGUCUGCAGGAAUCUGCCUUGUUUCUUCCCCCUCUCUCCUCAGCAGUUUUCCUCUUUCACGUACUAACUUUGGGAUUUUUGGUGCAGACUUGUUCCCAGCUUUGAAACGGCUCAGUGCCAAUAAAUAGAAUUUUACAGGAUCCUGGUAUAUCCUGCUUUUACCCUUCUCCAAAAGAGGGAAAGUGUUUCUCAUUUCCUCUCUCCCUCUCGAAAAACCCCAUGACCCUUUUGGGUCUCUUCCUCCUGAGAAAAGAUCACACCGUUCAAGAAUGACAUGCACAAGCAACCUGUGCCCAGAAGGAACUUUUAGCUGUAAUUAUAUUCCCAACCCUCCCUUUGCUUUUCGCAAACACAGCACUUACCCUGACAUAAUUGAACUACAAAAUCCUAGAAACAAUAAUAAACCAUAGAGAAAUUUUCACCCCCCUUUAGACACAAUUUUUUUUUCCAGAGAGAAACCACAGCUAUCAUAUGAACAUGUCUCCUCUGCACACAGAUAAAGCUAAAGCUCUGUAAAAGGUUGCAGCAGUGCUGCUUCAGCUAACCAACUUCCAUUCCAGUACAAACUGUACACAGGAAUAAAAACAAAAUCCCAGACAAAGGAAAGAAGACCUUUCUGGUCUUCACCUCUCUUCUGAGGCAACCAAUGUGGGAUCCUCCUUGAGUUCCUGAAAGAUAAGGUAUUUCACAUAGCCUCUGCCCCUUCAUAUCAGGCAACAUAUGUAUACAUACACAUAUUUAUAUAUGCACAUAGAUAUAAAUAUAAAUAUACAUUGAGUGGAUAUCUGUGCAAAAAAUGAGAUUUGCCUUCUACUUUUGUGCUCAAACUUGGUGCUAUAUCCUCGUGAAACCAGACAAUACAGUAUAAGCCCUCCUGGAAGGAAACUGGAGACACCUUUAUUUCCUGCCUUCCUCUGUGAGUUCCAGCCUCAGGAUGCACCAUUUGUGAGCCUCAGGCUGAAUGUUGGGGAGCACAAGCUGCUGACUUGAGGCCAUAUUUGCAUUCUUGUAUAGAGGAGGAUUGACAACCCAGCUGAAGCCAGACUGGGUGGCCACCCCUGCCACAAAGUCUUGUUUCUCAUGCCUGUUCUGUUUGGGUAAGGAGGGACAAAACUCCAGUAAGAAUUAAUGGGGAGCUCCUAAAGAUGCAGCUCAAGGGACCUGAUUGCCCCUCCAAUCCAGAGCAGGACUGAUGCAGAGCUUUUCCUUGCAGACACUAGGUAAAGGUGGAGAAAGUUUCUAUACAGAAACCCUGCAGACCAUUUGCAGCCCAUCUUCCCUUUACACAGCCUAGUGGCUUUGGUUCAGUUUUUUUAAAAAAGAGCAAAUGGAAAGAUGGAGGUAAUCAAAAGCAUAGGAGGGACCUAAGCAGCUGGUAAAGAAAUUAGUCCUGCUUGCCAGUCUUUCUGCCUCAACUUUCACAGGGAGCUCUGAACUCUCUGCUGACACUGUCCUCAAGUAUGGGCACUGCACUAGGUGGGUAACACUGGUGACCUGACCUCUGCUUCUCCUCACUGACCUCUCUUUUUCAUGUAGCCUACUGCUGCAAAUCAGGAUAGGCAACUCACUAAUGGUUGAGUUUUUAAUCCACCUCAUCAUCAAACUUGGGAGAAAGAAAAAGAGGAAAAUGAAUUGUAACCGCGUAGGUAUUGAAGAAAAAUAAUUCUCUCUGGUAAUCAAUUAUUGGUAAGUUUCUCUCUCUGAAGAUGUCAAAUAUUAAUACAAUAGUACACUCUCCCUGGAAGGCUACAUUUGGAGUUGUAUAAAAUACAUGAACCAGGAACCAAAAAAAUUGUGACUCUAACUGUAUUAAAAAUACUGACUAAGGGUUUAGAAAAAAACCAGCACAUACUUUGCAGAGAAGUGAAUGUCACUAAAAAAAAACCAAACAAAACCAAAAAACUAACCUUCAUCCUUUUGUUUAAACCCAUGACCUCAAAAAAGUCAUAAAAAUUUUUGAGAGGGGCUCAUCUGUUUUAAGAAGCAGGAUGGGAGAGAUGCCAGAAAAGAUGAGGUAUGCAUUUCCACAGUGGAAAUGUGGACUGUGGACCUGAUCCCGAAUCGCCUUAACGUCCAUGGAUUAAGGACAAAUUUACUGAUGCAGAAGAGGGUCAGGCAAUGCUGACGGGCCUGGCAAUGCUCUGAGUAGUUCCUUGGCUCCUUGACACAGUUUGCUGUCCGCAUUCCCAAGCCAUACUCCUUUACUUGGCAGCUGCCACCAUGUAACUCACCUGACAAACCAACUUCUCCCAUGCCUACUCCUCUCCCACAAACCACAACCCACCCUAACUUUGUGCAGCACAGGGAGCAAAAGGGAGAAAGCAGGUGACGUGAUGCGGUAGAAGGCUGUGGGCUAAAGAUAAUAGUCUGAAGAGAAAAAAGGGUUUUCCAUAGAAAAACUGCAGGCAGCAGUCCACAGAAAUGACAGUGAUAGCCUUUAGCCCUGAGAAAGCAUUUGUGAAGGGGAGCCAGAUGCUCCUCAGGAAGCCUGUGUGCAAAAGCAUCAGGUGAAAAGCAGAUUUGCAGUAUGAUUACACCCAAGAAAGAGGACAAUCCUCGUUCAUUCAAGCUAGUUAUUCCUCAUCCAAGCUAGUUAUUCCUCAUCCAUAUCCCACAAGAAAGCAGAGGGAACAGGAAACUUCUGCUAUGGCCACCCCCAUCAGCUCAGGGUUUCCCUUUAGACCCUUAUUAAUAAAAUAAUUCUGGUGUUUAUUCUUGUCUUUUCUGACUAGAAAUUCCUUAUCUAUGAAGAGAGACUCACAUGGCAGCAUUCCACACAUGUCCAUCUGUUAGUACCAGAGGAAGAAGCAGCUGAUUGAAACUAGCUUAAAUCCAGUAAUGUCCUAAUGGCAUUUAAAAGACCAAGUAACCUCCUGUGGUUUAAAUAUUCUUACAUAUUACAAUGAAAUAACAUUGUUAAACAAAAUGACACGGAUACAUUUGCAAUAAGCAAAAGGGACACCUCUUUCGAUGAAUUUGCAAGACUGUUAUAGGAUGUGUUACAUUUUUGGCAAAAGAGGAGGCACUUUUCUGUCAGUAUCCCAGUUUAUGAAGAAUUUCACUUGGCUGGACACUCCAGGGGCACUUCCCCAACUUCCUCCCACCCCUCCACCUUGAACAAAAUAAUACAUUCCCAUUUUAAGGCAGUGGAAAAUUAGUUCCAAUCAGCUGUUCAGGAGAGUCCUCAGGAUUAAAUAGAUUUAAAUAACGCCAGGCAAAACAUGCUCAUUUUGCCCUAAUUUUGAAGUGAAUUAUCAAUAAAUAAAGAAGUCAGCUAGAAUUAUAGCUGAAGUUACCACUUUCAAAAAAGGAGUAAAAUCUAUACAGGAGACAUGUCCUGGAUUCUCUGCAGCAUGCUGACUAACACCUUGCACAGCUGUAACAGCAAAGCCAAAUCAUUUAUCUGCAGUUUGUAAAAGGUUUUGUAUGUCAUAUAAAAUUUUGCAUUUAAUAGUAAAUGCUCAGGUCAACUAUCACAAUCUCGCUAUUUGGACAGGAACAAAAAACUGGAAAGAAAACUAACUUGUGAGACGCUGAACAAUUGCGUGAUGUGCCUUAACCUCUCCUUUAACUGCAAGGCACACCUCUGAGCGUGACACUGACAGUCACAGCAUGCCUGUCUCCACCCCUGGUCUUUAGACAACAUUCUGCUGGGCUAGAUUGUCUCUACAUUCACCCCAAACACAUCUGACCUGUGAUUUCCUGUAUUGUCCCUCUAUCUUGAUAUAAACUUAGAGAAACUUUUUAGUUUCUUCUCAGUUGCUUUAACUUCUCUGCUUGAGAAAUUAAGUUUUAGCUACCCCAGGGAAAAAAAGGAAGUCUCUACAUGGUUAAACAGUUAUGCCCUAAUUCUUGUGAGUGCCUGCAUGGUCAGUGGUAUUCUAUAUAUAUAUAUAUAUAUAACUGGAAAUUCUUACAAAUUCAGAAGAUCAUUGCAUACAACUACCUUAGCAUGAACUGAGGAAUUCUGUAACUGUUUCUUAAGCCUGUUUAAGGAUCCCAACAUGCAGUUACACACAAGAACAAUCAUUAAAAACUCGCUUCAGGAAAUAAUGUAGCCAAUAAGUUGGUAGCCUCAUGUACUCACAACCUGAUUUAUGUCAAUAAUAUUUAUCACAGAAAUACAGCUUUUGCUUGACUGCAUGACUAGCAAAUCCAGAUAAAAUAUCAAAGCUUAGUGAAUAAACAAAACCACAGUAUUUUCCUCCUUAUGCAUCUCUUUUUUAAAGCUAUACAUCUGCUUAUAACAAAUACCUGUUGAGUCAUGUUCUGCUUGACCUUUUGGGAUACAGCUCUUAGGUUUCCUAUAAGUAUUUCUAUGGUAUAUUUGUACAAAGUAGAUGAUCUCUGGAUUAAAUAGCUCUCACAUAUUUGCUCAUAAUUGAAGAGACAUGGCUUGUUGACCCAUGUGGUCCUUUCCACAACCAGGUUUAUGUUACAAUUAAACUUCAUGGUUUCAUGACAUGAAUUUAUUUAUUUCUCUGGAUAGAGAAAAUGGUCAAUAUGAAGACUAAGCAGAUACAUUACUUAUACAGAUGACUAUUCCUUCUCACACCUAUGUGAGAGAGGGGGAAAAACAAUCUUAAACAAAGUGCGAUAAUCUCCUGGAAAGUAAGUCUACUUUUUUCUUUUUUUCUUCUGUUUACUUAUUCACUUUAUUCACUGCUGGUCUCAAAUGCUAUUCUGAUAGAAUGAGUUAAUGAAAUUCAAACCCAUAUGAUUUUACUGAUCUUAUUUUUACUAAAACCCAAAAGUUUUUUCCAGCAUCUACCGGGCUGCUUGUAUAACACUGAUUAGAUUCUUCGGAGCAAAUACUUCUCACAGGAUCAUUUCACUUGGGGUGAAAGGUGAUAAAAGCAUUGGUGCGCAAAGGAGAAGGGGGAAAGGUUGAAAAGUCCACAGAACUUGCAGACAUUUUGGAACAAGCCAUUUAAUAAGUUACUGAGGAAUCUAUAUUUUCUCACAUACUUUGGGAAACAAAAGGUUUGUUUUUACAAUAAAAAUGCAUAAUGUGAGAAAAUUUCCUAAACUAUGGCGACAUUUUCUCUGUUUUUAAAGUUUCAGACUCACAACAAUGGUGACAUGUUUCUGUGCAAUCUGCAUAAUUGAAGGCCUGGUUUUGGUUGUUUUUUGGUUUGGGGUUUUCUGGUUUGUUUGUUUUUUAAGGAGACCCAUUCUAGCUUGAUGCCUCUCAACCUCCUUAAAAUUUUAGAUCUUCAUGUCCCAAUGACGCAGUGCAAUGCUAUGUAGAACUAUCACAGCAGAGUCUGAGGUUAGCAAUAG